AGAGAGAGACAUGCGCGCAUAUCAAUAAGCGGAGGAAAAGAAACUAACAAGGAUUCCCCUAGUAACGGCGAGUGAAGCGGGAAGAGCUCAAAUUUGAAAUCUUAAAGGGUUUCCCUUUACGAAUUGUAGUUUAAAGAAGUGUUUUCUGUUGAGGUUUUGGUAAAAGUUCUUUGGAAUAGGACAUCAUAGAGGGUGAGAAUCCCGUAUUUGACCUUUACUUUCAACUUUGUGAUACACUUUCAAAGAGUCGGAUUGUUUGGGAAUGCAGUCCAAAAUGGGUGGUAAAUUACAUCUAAAGCUAAAUAUUGGCGAGAGACCGAUAGCGAACGAGUACCGUGAGGGAAAGAUGAAAAGAACUUUGAAAAGAGAGUUAAACAGUACGUGAAAUUGUCAAAAGGGAAGCGUUUGACACCAGUGUUGUUUUUCUGAAAAUCAAUUAAAGAACUGUUUAUGCUAAGUUGUUUAGACCUUAUCAGCUAACUGUUUAGUUUUGAGCUUUUCUUUAAUGCACUUUUCAGUUAACAAGUCAACAUCAAUUUCUUUUGCUGUAAAAAAGCUUGAGGAAGGUGGCUUGAGAUUCGUCUUAAGUGUUUAUAGCCUCUUGCCUAUGCAGUCGGAGAGAUUGAGGUCUGCAGCGUAGAUCCUUCGGGGCUAAAUGCAUUUGUGCUAAGUUAUAGCAUUUUAUAGACAACUUGUUGACUAUGAUUUGUCUUGUAGCUUACUCGCUUAUGUUAUUUUACCUACGCUUAGGAUGUUGAGCGCAUGUCUCUCUCU
rnacentral:rRNA from 1 species